rnacentral:rRNA from 1 species
GGCUACACACGUGCUACAAUGGGUAGUACAGAGAGUCGCAAAGCCGCGAGGUGGAGCUAAUCUCAGAAAACUAUUCUUAGUUCGGAUUGUACUCUGCAACUCGAGUACAUGAAGUUGGAAUCGCUAGUAAUCGCGAAUCAGCAAUGUCGCGGUGAAUACGUUCUCGGGUCUUGUACACACCGCCCGUCACACCACGAGAGUUGGUUGCACCUGAAGUAGCAGGCCUAACCGUAAGGAGGGAUGCUCCGAGGGUGUGAUUAGCGAUUGGGGUGAAGUCGUAACAAGGUANUCCGUACGGGGACGU